rnacentral:rRNA from 1 species
ACUACGGGUGGCAGCAGUGGGGAAUAUUGCACAAUGGGGGGAACCCUGAUGCAGCGACGCCGCGUGAGUGAAGAAGUAUUUCGGUAUGUAAAGCUCUAUCAGCAGGGAAGAAAAUGACGGUACCUGACUAAGAAGCCCCGGCUAACUACGUGCCAGCAGCCGCGGUAAUACGUAGGGGGCAAGCGUUAUCCGGAUUUACUGGGUGUAAAGGGAGCGCAGACGGCGGUGCAAGUCUGGAGUGAAAGGCGGGGGCCCAACCCCCGGACUGCUCUGGAAAAUGUAAAGCUGGAGUGCAGGAGAGGUAAGCGGAAUUCCUAGUGUAGCGGUGAAAUGCGUAGAUAUUAGGAGGAACACCAGUGGCGAAGGCGGCUUACUGGACUGCAACUGACGUUGAGGCUCGAAAGCGUGGGGAGCAAACAGGAUUAGAUACCCGAGUAGUC